UACUAUACUAAAAAUCUAAUGAAACUAGAAUAUUAUAAGGUAAGGCCUUUAAAUUUAAAGAAUUUGGCGGUAAUUUAGUCUAUCCAGAGGAACCUGUUUUGUAAUCGAUAAACCACGAAGAAUCUUACUUGUUUGUGUUUAAGUUAUAAGUUUGUAUACCGUCAUUAUUAGAUAAUAUUUGGAGAUAAUUAUUAGAUUUUAAAUAAUAAAAUAAAUUAGAUCAAGGUGCAGCCUAUGAAUAAGUAAAAAUGGGUUACAAUUAAGUUUAUAUAAUAUGAAAUAAUGUUUGAAAUGAAUAUUAGGAAGGAGGAUUUGGUUGUAAUGGUGAUUAACAAGAUAAAAAGAUAUAAGCUCUAAAUUAU
rnacentral:rRNA from 2 species